rnacentral:lncRNA from 1 species
UAAAAUUUAAAGUAAAAAGGUCUAUUACUCAUAAGCAGGUUUAAUAGGUGACAUGCUCUUCUCUCUCUCUCUCUCUCUCUCUCUCUCUCUAUAUAUAUAUAUAUAUAUAUAUAUAUAUAGUCCUGCUGUGGUGCUUGUAAAAACACCAAGCACUUGGCGCUUAUAAAUUUUUUUUAUCGUUAGAUCUAACCUUUUGAUCAUUUCCACCCGUUAAAUCAUACUAUUCAACCAACUACCGGCUCAACCCUAGAGGUCCCACAUCACUCUAACCACAUAUCUCUUAAUUCAAUGGCCAAAAAUCUAUAAGCACUAAUAAUUUGAUAGUUUUAAAAGCGUAGAAGCCCAAUUAUUUAUGUAUAUAUA